CGGUGCACCCCUCAGAUAGUGAAGUCUGACAGUAAAGGCCUGAGGUCAGGACAGCGUUACCUCCCCAUACUGGAUAGAUGGGCGUGAAACAGCUGAACCAAGGUCCAGCCCCAUGCUGGCAGAGGGUCAGCCCCAGAAACUAUUGGCCUGGACUUGCUGGGUCUUUUCUGGAGACCAGACUUUUCUUCCCAUAAGCCCAUCAUCAAAACAGGUGAUUUGCAUACCUCCUGCUUGGAACGGCCAGAUUAUAACAGCAGGGAGAAAGUUGUCUUGCUCUGCCUGAAGUGCUGGUAGUCUGGCCUGUAAGAAAUGAAUCUUCAUUGAAUCCUCAUGAAGAUGAUAUUGCUGCCCUGUAUAGCCAUGAAGUUACAACCGCCAUCGGACCCACUCACUAAUUUUAAUGUAAAAUUAUUAAUACUUGGGAACAAAAUCCAUCAUACUGUGUAAUCCAUCAUAGUGUGUCCAGAUUCAUUAGGGUAAGGUGUGUCAUUGGAAGGAGAAGCUGCUUUGCUGGUAUCCCAGCUUAAUUUUUCUAUGGGUUAAGAUGCAGUUUUUAGAAUGCAGUGUUACUGAAUAAUUCUGAAGUUUAGAAAAAAAAAAUUAGUUGGGGGUAGCUGCUCUGUCUACCUCAACUGUCUCAUUAUACUUACAUGUAUCU